UACGAAGGGGGCGAGCGUUGUCCGGAAUCACUGGGCGUAAAGGGCGCGUAGGCGGCCGUGUAAGUCACUUGUGAAAUCCCGGGGCUCAACUCCGGGGCUGCAGGUGAGACUGCGUGGCUAGAGCUUGGUAGAGGCGAGUGGAAUUCACGGUGUAGCAGUGAAAUGCGGUAGAUAUCGUGAGGAAUACCAGAGGCGAAGGCGGCUACCUGGACAAUUGCUGACGCUCAGGCACGGAAAGCGAUGGG
rnacentral:rRNA from 1 species